UUAUCUCAGGACUGGAUUUAAAUACAGCAAACAAGUCAGUCACCACCCACAUGGUUGAUAUUAAUGAAGACCUAGGUCAUGUGACACACACACAGGGCUCGGCUGCUUUCAUUGGGUGUCAGCUGAUAGAAUCACAAUAGAGCCACUCAGCAUGGUCGUUACCCGUUUGUCACGUUACACCACUUCCUGUGUGCCGGGACAAAGUUUACCGCAGCACAUGGUGAUUGGUGGAUGACCUCAUCGUAGUGUCUUUUACUGACUGACAGGCCAGCCGACCAAUCAGAGGCACCGCAUCCUCUGCCACAAACCAAACAGGUGUGUCGGCUGUUGAAGUGCUGCUGAAACUCCUCCCACUCUGAUGUGGUGUGAGAAAGUUCAAAAUCUGAACACAGCUGGGAGAGCGCCUUUAUCCCGUCCUCCUGUUCACACACAGACGCACACACACAGCGUAGAUACAGAGGAGAGGUUCACACACACAGACGCUCACCUGGCUGUUGAAGCCAUGUCGCAAACACUCACUCAGAAUCCUCUGGAGAAGACCUGGGGUCCAUGGAUGCAGAGCAGGCUGAACAGACGGCGAGGCUCCUCGGUGCCCCAGUUCACCAACUCCCCGACCAUGAUCGUGAUGGUGGGCCUCCCGGCACGAGGGAAAACCUACAUCUCUACGAAGCUCACCAGGUACCUGAACUGGAUCGGCGUCAAAACCAAAGUGUUUAAUGUGGGGCAGUACCGCAGACAGGCCACGUGCUCCUACAACAGCUACGAGUUCUUCAGACCCGACAACGAGGAGGCCAUGAAGAUCCGCAAGGCCUGUGCCGUCGCUGCCCUCCAAGAUGUGUGUGAGUACAUCACCAGGGAGCAGGGUCAGGUGGUGGUUUUUGAUGCCACGAACACCACCCAGGACCGCAGAGAGGUCAUCCUGAACUUUGCCAAAGAAAACGGCUACAAGGUUUUCUUUGUGGAGUCGAUAUGCGACGACCCCGACAUCAUCGCUGAGAAUAUUAAACAAGUGAAGCUGAGCAGCCCGGACUACGCCGGCUGUGACAAAGAGGAGGCCGUGGCCGACUUCCUGAAGAGGAUCGAAUGUUAUACGAUGACCUACGUCCCCCUCGAUGACACCAAGGACAGGAACUUGUCUUACAUUAAAAUCUUCAACGUGGGCAGCAGAUACCUGGUGAACCGGGUCCAGGACCACAUUCAGAGCCGGAUCGUCUACUACCUCAUGAACAUCCACGUCACCCCGAGGUCCAUCUACCUGUGUCGCCACGGUGAGAGCGAACUGAACCUCGUGGGUCGCAUCGGAGGCGACUCUGGGCUUUCCUCUCGCGGGGCAAAGUUUGCCAGCACUCUGGGGACCUACAUGCGUGGGCAGUGCAUCAGCGACCUGAAGGUGUGGACGAGCCACAUGAAGAGGACCAUCCAGACCGCAGAGGCUCUGGGAGUCCAGUACGAACAGUGGAAAGCUCUCAAUGAGAUCGACGCCGGGGUUUGUGAGGAGAUGACGUACGAGGAGAUUCAGGAGCAUUUCCCCGAGGAGUUCGCGCUGAGGGACCAAGACAAGUAUCGCUACCGCUACCCUAAAGGAGAGUCGUACGAGGACCUCGUUCAGCGUCUGGAGCCGGUCAUCAUGGAGCUGGAGAGGCAGGAGAACGUUCUAGUCAUCUGUCACCAGGCAGUCAUGAGGUGUCUGCUGGCCUACUUCCUGGACAAGAGUGCUAACGAGCUGCCGUACCUGAAGUGUCCUCUGCACACGGUUCUGAAACUCACUCCAGUCGCUUACGGUCAGUCUCGCCUUCUUCUGCCUCUGACUUGAACGUCCUCCUCUGUUGGUAGCAUUAAAACGAGCUCGUUCUGCAGCGUAAACUAGCAAACACAAAGUUGCAAAGUGGAAUCCGUCUUCCUGAACAUCGAGGCCGUCAACACACACAGAGACAAGCCGGUGAACGUCGACGUGGACCGAGACCCGGCCGAGGCCCUGGAG